UGGGAGCUCUCCCNUAUGGUCGACCUGCAGGCGGCCGCGAAUUCACUAGUGAUUAGAGUUUGAUCCUGGCUCAGAUUGAACGCUGGCGGCAGGCCUAACACAUGCAAGUCGAACGGUAACAGGAAGCAGCUUGCUGCUUUGCUGACGAGUGGCGGACGGGUGAGUAAUGUCUGGGAAACUGCCUGAUGGAGGGGGAUAACUACUGGAAACGGUAGCUAAUACCGCAUAACGUCGCAAGACCAAAGAGGGGGACCUUAGGGCCUCUUGCCAUCGGAUGUGCCCAGAUGGGAUUAGCUAGUAGGUGGGGUAACGGCUCACCUAGGCGACGAUCCCUAGCUGGUCUGAGAGGAUGACCAGCCACACUGGAACUGAGACACGGUCCAGACUCCUACGGGAGGCAGCAGUGGGGAAUAUUGCACAAUGGGCGCAAGCCUGAUGCAGCCAUGCCGCGUGUAUGAAGAAGGCCUUCGGGUUGUAAAGUACUUUCAGCGGGGAGGAAGGGAGUAAAGUUAAUACCUUUGCUCAUUGACGUUACCCGCANAANAAGCACCGGCUAACUCCGUGCCAGCAGCCGCGGUAAUACNGAGGGUGCAAGCGUUAAUCGGAAUUACUGGGCGNAAAGCGCACGCAGGCNGUUUGUUAAGUCAGAUGUGAAAUCCCCGGGCUCAACCUGGGGAACUGCAUCUGAUACUGGCAANCUUGAGUCUCGUAGAGGGGGNGUANAAUUCC
rnacentral:rRNA from 1 species